rnacentral:lncRNA from 1 species
AAAAAUCAUAAAGUUUCUUCUACCAAAAGGUGCCAUGUGUAUCUACCAAAUAUAAUAAAAUGAGAUUGCAAAUGGCCUAAAAGGAAAACCCAUUUAGCCGUGAUGGUAAUUCUCCAAAGUGAAUAAAAUGAAUUUGCUUGCAAUGUGAUACGUGCCUCCUUCUUCCAGCACAAAAACCGAGUGCCACUUUAAUUAAUCACCAAAAUUCAAUUCCCUUUGCCGUGAAAAAAAAAAUAUAGCAAGUGUACCUUGCUGCUGGAUAUAGCAUCAAUGCUGAAGGAAUAAGGCACCAGACCCCACAACCAUUCAAACACUGCACCCAAUGCCUCUUUCAUUNUGUAAAUUAGCUACACUAGUAACUCCCAANCGUCCCAUCAAAUUCUUUUCCUUGUAAGAUAAAUGAAGACCAAAACUUGUAAAUGGUAUUGAAGCACCGAACCCCAC